rnacentral:misc_RNA from 1 species
GACAACUCCUUGAUAAUUGUAUAUCUUCAAGGAAUCAAUUUUUAAAAAGAGAAAAAAAAAAUCACUAGGUUAGCAAAACACUACACAAGUCUUUUCACCAAAUUUUUAGAAAAUUAAGCAAAAAAAUAACUGUAUGCAGUGUAUAAAAAAUAAAUUUCACAUCAUCCUUCAAAAGUAGCCUGCCACCUAUCUAACUCUGUAACUCACCAUAUAUAAUAACAUUCAUUUCAGGUCACUUUUGCCAUGGUAAAUGAUGAGGGCACCUAGAAAGGAGGGAGGGUG